GAUGAACGCUAGCGGGAGGCCUAACACAUGCCAGCCGAGCGGUAUUUGUUCUUCGGAACAGAGAGAGCGGCGCACGGGUGCGGAACACGUGUGCAACCUGCCUUUAUCUGGGGGAUAGCCUUUCGAAAGGAAGAUUAAUACCCCAUAAUAUAUUGAGUGGCAUCAUUUGAUAUUGAAAACUCCGGUGGAUAGAGAUGGGCACGCGCAAGAUUAGAUAGUUGGUGAGGUAACGGCUCACCAAGUCAAUGAUCUUUAGGGGGCCUGAGAGGGUGAUCCCCCACACUGGUACUGAGACACGGACCAGACGCCUACGGGAGGCAGCAGUGAGGAAUAUUGGACAAUGAGUUAGCGCCUGAUCCAGCCAUCCCGCGUGAAGGACGACGGCCCUAUGGGUUGUAAACUUCUUUUGUAUAGGGAUAAACCUACUCUCGUGAGAGUAGCUGAAGGUACUAUACGAAUAAGCACCGGCUAACUCCGUG
rnacentral:rRNA from 1 species